UGGGGGAUAUUGCACAAUGGGCGAAAGCCUGAUGCAGCGACGCCGCGUGGGGGAUGAAGGCCUUCGGGUUGUAAACUUCUUUUGCUCUGAACAAGGCAUGCCUUUGGGGUGUGUUGAGUGUAGGGGUUGAUUAGCGCCGGCUAACUACGUGCCAGCAGCCGCGGUAAUACGUAGGGCGCGAGCGUUGUCCGGAAUUAUUGGGCGUAAAGGGCUUGUAGGUGGCUGGUUGCGUCUGUCGUGAAAGCUCAUGGCUUAACUGUGGGUUUGCGGUGGGUACGGGCUGGCUUGAGUGCAGCAGGGGAGGCUGGAAUUCCUGGUGUAGCGGUGGAAUGCGCAGAUAUCAGGAGGAAUACCGGUGGCGAAGGCGGGUCUCUGGGCUGUUACUGACGCUGAGGAGCGAAAGCGUGGGGAGAGAACAGG
rnacentral:rRNA from 1 species